rnacentral:lncRNA from 1 species
GAGGAGCCAUAUGGUGGGUUUUGAGUGAAAUCCAAUCUCUAGAACUAUACAAUACACCAACCACUCCAUUUCAGAAUGAACUUCGCACGAACCUGAAUUGUCCAAUUUUAUGGACCAAUCGAUAUCGGAUUGAGCCCAAAACUUGGGGGGCAUCAUAAUAUGGUGAGAGAAGUCAUUUGGUGAUUUUUGAGCGAAAUUCGAU